UACGUAGGGAGCAAGCGUUGUUCGGAUUUACUGGGCGUAAAGGGCGCGUAGGCGGCAGAUCAAGUCAGCUGUGAAAUCUCCGAGCUUAACUCGGAACUGUCAGCUGAUACUGUUUUGCUAGAGUGCGGAAGGGGCAAUCGGAAUUCUUGGUGUAGCGGUGAAAUGCGUAGAUAUCAAGAGGAACACCUGAGGUGAAGACGGGUUGCUGGGCCGACACUGACGCUGAGUGCGCGAAAGCUAGGGGAGCGAACAGG
rnacentral:rRNA from 1 species